UACAGGGGGUGCAAACGUUGCUCGGAAUUAUUGGGCGUAAAGCGCGUGUAGGCGGCUACCUAAGUCGGAUGUGAAAGCCCCUGGCUUAACUGGGGAAGUGCACCCGAAACUGAGUAGCUAGAGUGCAAAAGAGGGUCGCGGAAUUCUCGGUGUAGCAGUGAAAUGCGUAGAUAUCGAGAGGAACACCAGUGGCGAAGGCGAGUCCCUGGACAACACCUGACACUGAGGCACGAAAGCCGGGGGAGCAAACAGG
rnacentral:rRNA from 1 species